UAUUUAGAAAUCCAGCGGGGCAUUGUCAUGGCACAGACAUGUGAGUAGGUGUGGCAUCUUUAACUCGUUUAGGGACAUAUUGAGGACAUUUUCUGCGGGUUUACACAACAUCGCGUGAGUAGGGAAGGGUAUCCGGUGGAUCCAAUCGCCCUCUGUGAGUGUGGCAGCGCCUCCAUGAAUGUGGCCUUUGAGUGGCAAGAGGAGGACCAGACUCAACAAAAGAAAAGAAGAAUGUGAGAAGAGAAGAAGUCUAUAAAGCAAUAUCAAAUAAGGCCUGUCGGCGAACAUCUGAGGGGCAAGAAUAUGCACGGAGGUAGCAGAGUUCCAUUUGGUUCCAAGGAGAGCAGAUCUUCAUGUGACAGUGGUACAACAGCGUGUGCAAAAACUGCUUUAGUUUGAACUUACUGUAUAUCACAGAUGGAGGAAUAUGACGCUGUUGGCAGUUAUAUGGACGUGCGGAUGUAAUUCAGCUUUGAUUUUGGAGCUAUAUUUACACCAACGUCCAACAAUGAUGCAGGCUGUCACAUCAACAUCAACAUCUUUUUUGUGUGAAUAAUGUUUCGCAGCCAGGA